ensembl:misc_RNA 7SK 7SK RNA
GGAAGAUCUAGAAGAAACAGCUGUCUCUCCUUUGACUAUAAAGUUUGAUUCAGUUGAUCUGACUGGUUGGAAAGAUGCUGCUUCCUGCUCCUCAGGCCUCCUUCUUAAUAAUGCAAACUUGGGCCAAAAGAUGACCUUCCCUGAGAGAGGAACAGCCUCAGUAAAAUGUAUCAGGGUGACUAAGAGCAAACAGGCUCACAUCAGAAAUUGGUCUUUGGCCACAACUGAGAUUUAAACAACAUACAGACAGCAAGGGUGAGAAUGAUUAGAGUGUGACCCUGAUCUGAUCU